rnacentral:ncRNA from 2 species
GAGCGCGCUCCGGGAUCGGUGCAACUCCGAACCGGCGGUGACAGUCCGCGACCCGAUGGGCUGGAGCAGCCCAGCGGUGGACCCGGUGAAAUUCCGGGACCGACGGUGAAAGUCCGGAUGGGAGGCAGCGCGC